CCCUUAGCUUCUGGAAGAUAAAUUUUGCCUGUGGAUAUCUUUAUCUUUCAGAAGGUUUGGGA
rnacentral:pre_miRNA from 1 species